rnacentral:rRNA from 1 species
UACGUAGGGGGCGGAGCGUUGUCCGGAUUUAUUGGGCGUAAAGAGCUCGUAGGCGGUUCGAUAAGUCGGAUGUGAAAUCUCCACGCUCAACGUGGAGGGGCCAUUCGAUACUGUCGUGACUCGAGUCCGGUAGGGGAGUGUGGAAUUCCCGGUGUAGCGGUGAAAUGCGCAGAGAUCGGGAGGAACACCCGUAGCGAAGGCGGACACUCUGGGCCGGUACUGGACGCUGAGGCGCGGAAAGCCGUGGGGAGCAAACAGGGAUUAAGAAACCCUGUAAGUC